rnacentral:rRNA from 1 species
UAUCCGGAUUCAUUGGGUUUAAAGGGUGCGUAGGCGGCUUUUUAAGUCAGUGGUGAAAUCCUGCCGCUUAACGGUACGAAUUGCCAUUGAUACUGAGAAGCUUGAGUACAAUUGAGGUAAGCGGAAUGUGUAGUGUAGCGGUGAAAUGCUUAGAUAUUACACAGAACACCAAUUGCGAAGGCAGCUUACUAAACUGUUACUGACGCUGAUGCACGAAAGCGUGGGGAGCGAACAGGAUUAGAUACCCUGGUAGUCCACGCCGUAAACGAUGAUCACUCGCUGUAUGCGAUACACAGUAUGCGGCCAAGCGAAAGCAUUAAGUGAUCCACCUGGGGAGUACGAUCGCAAGGUUGAAACUCAAAGGAAUUGACGGGGGCCCGCACAAGCGGAGGAACAUGUGGUUUAAUUCGAUGAUACGCGAGGAACCUUACCUGGGCUUAAAUGUAGAGCGACAGCUUGUGAAAGCAGGCUUUCUUCGGACGAUCUACAAGGUGCUGCAUGGUUGUCGUCAGCUCGUGCCGUGAGGUGUCGGGUUAAGUCCCAUAACGAGCGCAACCCUUAUCGUUAGUUGCCAGCGGGUUAAGCCGGGGACUCUAGCGAGACUGCCACCGUAAGGUGUGAGGAAGGUGGGGAUGACGUCAAAUCAGCACGGCCCUUAUGUCCAGGGCUACACACGUGUUACAAUGGCCAAUACAAAGGGCAGCUACCCCGUGAGGGGAUGCUAAUCUCUAAAGUUGGUCUCAGUUCGGAUCGAAGUCUGCAACCCGACUUCGUGAAGCUGGAUUCGCUAGUAAUCGCGCANCAGCCAUGGCGCGGUGAAUACGUUCCCGGGCCUUGUACACACCGCCCGUCAAACAAUGGAAGCUGGGGGUACCUGAAGUCUGUAACCGCAAGGAGCGGCCUAGGGUAAA